rnacentral:lncRNA from 1 species
UCUUUCUUUCUCUCUCUCUUUCUUUCUCUUUCUUUUUGUAAGUCAUCCUUUUGUUUAGUUUUAGAACAAGUCCUCCUUUUUUCCCCCAACAGACUUGCCUUGGAAAAGAUUGAGAAGAGCCAGUAGACUUGGCUUCCUUACUUCUGCUCAUGCCACCGCAAACAUCACUUGCCUUGGAAACUAUGGAAAAGGAUGGCUUUACACGAGGACAUUUAUCAUCCUGGAAUUGUGUGCUGCUUUUCUACUUGGGAUUUGAGGCUGACAGUAUCCGAUCUCAGUCUCUCGUUUUAGAAUCAAUAUUUCUGUAGCAAGUGUAAAAUCAUCCUAAAUGGAUUUUUUUUGAGAUUGUCCAAAAAAAAAUUCUGAAGAGAGAACACGCUAAGAGUGAAAAAGCUAUGUUUAUGAAAAUAUCAUGAAGGCUAAAUGUGAUGCACUAGGAAAACACGCAGAUUUCACUGUAUACCCAUGAGAUCUAUAUCCCAACUCUACUGAUAAAUAGUAUUCAAGGGAAUGUGAAAAUUCCUUCUAUAAGUGCAUUUCUGCUGGUCUAGCUCAUUGCCUAAUCCACAGAAGGUGGUUAGUAACUAUUUGUUGGGUGGCUGGAUGUACGUUAUGUUUUCAUUGUAACAUAAAUACCAUAUCAUUUAUAUCAUAUUUAUAUUAUGCCAAUAAGGAAGAUGGAAUAGUCAUUCACGUGAUGCGUUUAUGAGCAUAAUAUUUCCGAAGCUCAGCUGACAGAAAGUUCCUUCUACAUCUGUUUUCUGUGACAAGUGGGAAUUCUAGAGACUGCGAGUGUAAGGCUUUUGAGUGAGCCUUUGUAAGGGGGCCUGAAUUGCCAUUUAGUUUGUUAGCGUUUGAGUUUUGCAAUUACACCCAUUCCGAUAGAACAAUACGUUAGGAGCCCACGAGAAUCCUGUGGCCGUGCUCCCUCCCCUCUUUCUCUCAACCUUACCUUUCAUACAAGACGUAAAAAGCCCAAAUCACAAU